rnacentral:rRNA from 1 species
UACGGAGGGUGCGAGCGUUGUUCGGAAUCACUGGGCGUAAAGGGUGCGUAGGCGGGUCUUUAAGUCAGGGGUGAAAUCCUGGAGCUCAACUCCAGAACUGCCUUUGAUACUGAGGAUCUUGAGUUCGGGAGAGGUGAGUGGAACUGCGAGUGUAGAGGUGAAAUUCGUAGAUAUUCGCAAGAACACCAGUGGCGAAGGCGGCUCACUGGCCCGAUACUGACGCUGAGGCACGAAAGCGUGGGGAGCAAACAGG